AACGAACGCUGGCAGCAGGCUUAACACAUGCAAGUCGAACGCACCUUUCGGGGUGAGUGGCAGACGGGUGAGUAACGCGUGGAAUCUACCCUUCUCUACGGGAUAGCUCCGGGAAACUGGAAUUAAUACCGUAUACGUCCUGAGGGAGAAAGAUUUAUCGGGGAAGGAUGAGCCCGCGUUGGAUUAGCUAGUUGGUGGGGUAAAGGCCUACCAAGGCGACGAUCCAUAGCUGGUCUAAGAGGAUGAUCAGCCACAUUGGGACUGAGACACGGCCCAAACUCCUACGGGAGGCAGCAGUGGGGAAUAUUGGACAAUGGGCGCAAGCCUGAUCCAGCCAUGCCGCGUGAGUGAUGAAGGCCCUAGGGUUGUAAAGCUCUUUCAGUGGGGACGAUAAUGACGGUACCCACAGAAGAAGCCCCGGCUAACUUCGUG
rnacentral:rRNA from 1 species